rnacentral:rRNA from 1 species
UGACGGUAUCAUAUGAAUAAGCACCGGCUAACUCCGUGCCAGCAGCCGCGGUAAUACGGGGGGUGCAAGCGUUACUCGGAAUCACUGGGCGUAAAGAGCAUGUAGGCGGGUGAAUAAGUUGGAAGUGAAAUCCUAUAGCUUAACUAUAGAACUGCUUCCAAAACUGUUCACCUAGAGUAUGGGAGAGGUAGAUGGAAUUUCUGGUGUAGGGGUAAAAUCCGUAGAGAUCAGAAGGAAUACCGAUUGCGAAGGCGAUCUACUGGAACAUUACUGACGCUCAGAUGCGAAAGCGUGGGGAGCAAACAGGAUUAGAUACCCUGGUAGUCCACGCCCUAAACGAUGUACACUAGUUGUUGCUAUACUAGAUAUGGCAGUAAUGCAGUUAACACUUUAAGUGUACCGCCUGGGGAGUACGGUCGCUAGAUUAGAACUCAAAGGAAUAGACGGGGACCCGCACAAGCGGUGGAGCAUGUGGUUUAAUUCGAC